GUGAACUUGGGAAGAGGAAGACAGAGGGUCUAAGAGCUGUAGGAAUGGGAACAUGGAGGAAAGUGCAAGCUCCAUGUUUGUGGAGACUUGGCUUGCAACUUUCCUAAUGCCUCCCAUUCCUAUUGUUCUUAGGUGCUCCUUCCUCUUCCUUUGGUCUCAC
rnacentral:pre_miRNA from 1 species